rnacentral:rRNA from 1 species
GACGAACCACACGAACGUUAUUCGGAAUCACUGGGCUUAAAGGGUGCGUAGGCGGCGCGGAAAGUAGGGUGUGAAAUCCCUCGGCUCAACCGAGGAAUUGCGCUCUAAACUACCGUGCUCGAGGGAGAUAGAGGUGAGCGGAACUUAGGGUGGAGCGGUGAAAUGCGUUGAUAUCCUAAGGAACACCGGUGGCGAAAGCGGCUCACUGGAUCUCUUCUGACGCUGAGGCACGAAAGCUAGGGUAGCGAACGGG